rnacentral:rRNA from 1 species
AGUGAACGCUGGCGGUAGGCCUAACACAUGCAAGUCGAACGACAGCACAGUAAGCGUUUGCUCUUACGGGUGGCGAGUGGCGGACGGGUGAGACAUACAUCGGAAUCUACUUUUUCGUGGGGGAUUACGUAGGGCAGCUUACGCUACUACCUCAUACGACCUACGGGUUAAAGCAGGAGAGCUUCGGACCUUUCGUGAUUCAUUUAGCCGGAGUCGGAUUAGCUAGUUGGCGGGGUAAGGGCUCACCAAGGCAACGAUGCGUAGCUGACCGGAGAGGAUGAUCGGCCACACUGGAACUGAGACACGGUCCAGACUCCUACGGGAGGCAGCAGUAGGGAAUCUUGCGCAAUGGGCGAAAGCCUGACGGAGCAACGCCGCGUGAGUGAUGAAGGUCUUCGGAUUGUAAAACUCUGUUAUUGGGGAAGAAAAACUGUGUAAGUAACUAUGCACGUCUUGACGGUACCUAAACAGAAAGCAACGGCUAACUACGUG